AGAGUUUGAUCAUGGCUCAGGACGAACGCUGGCGGCGUGCUUAAUACAUGCAAGUCGAGCGAGGUUACUGUUUUGGAUCCCUUCGGGGUGAAGAAGCUUUAACCUAGCGGCGGACGGGUGAGUAACGCGUGGGUAACCUACCCCAAAGUCCGGGAUAACAGCGGGAAACCGCUGCUAAUACCGGAUGUCUUUACCUUGGGGCAUCUUGAGGUAAAGAAAGGUAACGCUUUGGGAUGGGCCCGCGUCCCAUUAGCUAGUUGGUGAGGUAACGGCUCACCAAGGCGACGAUGGGUAGCCGGCCUGAGAGGGUGGACGGCCACACUGGGACUGAGACACGGCCCAGACUCCUACGGGAGGCAGCAGUAGGGAAUAUUGCGCAAUGGACGGAAGUCUGACGCAGCGACGCCGCGUGAGCGAUGAAGGUCUUCGGAUCGUAAAGCUCUGUCCUUGGGGAAGAAGGCGAAAGCUUGACGGUACCCAAGAAGAAAGCCCCGGCUAACUACGUGCCAGCAGCCGCGGUAAUACGUAGGGGGCGAGCGUUGUCCGGAAUUACUGGGCGUAAAGGGUGCGUAGGCGGCCCUUUAAGUCGGAUGUGAAAGCCCGCGGCUUAACCGCGGAAUGGCAUUCGGAACUGGAGGGCUUGAGUGUCGGAGAGGGUAGUGGAAUUCCCAGUGUAGCGGUGAAAUGCGUAGAUAUUGGGAGGAACACCAGUGGCGAAGGCGACUACCUGGACGAUAACUGACGCUGAGGCACGAAAGCUAGGGGAGCAAACAGGAUUAGAUACCCUGGUAGUCCUAGCCGUAAACGAUGGGUACUAGGUGUGGGUGGUUUCGAUACCAUCCGUGCCGUAGUUAACGCAUUAAGUACCCCGCCUGGGGAGUACGUGCGCAAGCAUGAACUUAAUGAAUUGACGG
rnacentral:rRNA from 1 species